AACGAACGCUGGCGGCGUGCUUAACACAUGCAAGUCGAACGCGAACGGGUUCUUCGGGACCUUAGUAGAGUGGCGCACGGGUGAGUAACGCGUAAGUUAUCUACCUCGGCAUCUGGAAUAACUCGCCGAAAGGUGUGCUAAUACCGGAUACGUUGAGUAAUCAAGAAAGGUGGCCUCUCUUUGAUGCUACCGUGCUGAGAUGAGCUUGCGUACCAUUAGCUAGUUGGUGGGGUAAUGGCCUACCAAGGCGACGAUGGUUAGCGGGUCUGAGAGGAUGAUCCGCCAAACUGGAACUGGAACACGGACCAGACUCCUACGGGAGGCAGCAGUGAGGAAUAUUGCGCAAUGGGGGCAACCCUGACGCAGCGACGCCGCGUGGAUGAUGAAGGCCUUCGGGUCGUAAAAUCCUGUCAGGUGGAAAGAAAUGCAUAUGUGCUAAUACCGUGUAUGCUUGACGGUACCACCGAAGGAAGCACCGGCUAACUCCGUGCCAGCAGCCGCGGUAAGAC
rnacentral:rRNA from 1 species